rnacentral:lncRNA from 1 species
GAGGGCACUGUGGACCAACCUGACAGUGUGACAGGGAGGCCCGCGUCCCCCUCAGUGCAGUGACCACAGGAGGGCCCUUGCCAGCAGAGGCGCACCUUCAUCCCAGGGACCCUGGCCAUCAGGCUGCACGGUCGCCUGGCUCUCCCUGUGCCUGCUGGGACUCAGAGCCAAGGACCAGGUGUGUGCUGCCCAGGUGGGCACAGGGGCCGGGGCCAGGACCACUCACACCCAGCACGUCAGUGUCCUCAUUGCCACCACCCCUUUGCUAGUAAGUAACCUUCCAACAUAAUUCAGCCCGGUAAGGGCUGACUCUGUGGGUCAACUUGGUGGGGCCACGGCACCCAGGUAUUUGGUCAAGCAUUAUUGUGGAGGUUUCUGUGACGGUGAUUUGGGGAUAGGACUAACAUUUAAAUAAUCAGUGGACUUUUGAGUCCAGCAGAUUGUCGUCCAUGACAUGGGUGGGCCUUGCCCAACUAGUCGAAGGUCUGAAUGGAGCAAAGAGGAACCACCCUGAGCAAGGAAGAAUUCUGCCUGCAGACUGCCUUGGCACUCCAACUUCAGCCCUUCCCUUGGUCUCCAGCCUGCAGCCCUACCCAGAAAAUUUUG